AAAUUAUAUGCACUUCUAUAAAAGACAUUAUUGCUUUUGGGGCAGUUACUGUUCAUCCUGUACUUCGAUCAGUUGGACCUUUUCAAAAAUGGCUUCUACUCAUAAAUUAAUACUUUGCAUCAGCUUCAUAAUUCUUGUGUCGCUUUCACAAAGUGAAGCACAAAAUAAAAAAGAAUCGAAGGGCGUCAUAGCUGACACUGUUAAUGAGGGUAAGUAACAGUACUUUGUAAGUUGAACUAUUAUUAUUUUU